CCUACGGGCGGCAGCAGUGAGGAAUAUUGGUCAAUGGACGAGAGUCUGAACCAGCCAAGUAGCGUGAAGGAUGACUGCUCUAUGGGUUGUAAACUUCUUUUAUAUGGGAAUAAAACGUUCCACGUGUGGGAUUUUGUAUGUACCAUAUGAAUAAGGAUCGGCUAACUCCGUGCCAGCAGCCGCGGUAAUACGGAGGAUCCGAGCGUUAUCCGGAUUUAUUGGGUUUAAAGGGAGCGUAGGUGGAUUGUUAAGUCAGUUGUGAAAGUUUGCGGCUCAACCGUAAAAUUGCAGUUGAAACUGGCAGUCUUGAGUACAGUAGAGGUGGGCAGAAUUCGUGGUGUAGCGGUGAAAUGCUUAGAUAUCACGAAGAACUCCGAGUGCGAAGGCAGUUCACUGGACUGCAACUGACACUGAGGCUCGAAAGUGUGGGUAUCAAACAGGAUUAGAUACCCCAGUAGUC
rnacentral:rRNA from 1 species